CUCGUCUCCAACCCUAAUUCUUUUCCCCCUCCCCUACAGCCGCCUUCCCAAUCUCCUCAUCCCCUCCACUCCCUCGACAACGGUGGCGGCGGUGCCCUCUGGUGGCGGAGGAGGAGGGGGGAGAUGGUGGCGGUGGCGCCCUCUGGUGGCGGAGGAGGAGGGGGGAGAUGGUGGCACGUCGGCGACCUUCCCCUCACGCAUCCCAUCCCCCCUCGUCAUCCCGGAUCCCACCGGACCUGAGGCGUGCGGGCGCGGCAGCGACCUGCAAGGGAAGGGCGACGCUCGAAUCGAUCCAGCGCCAUGGAUCGGUCCUUGCGGAAGAAAGAGAAAAUGAGGAGCCGGGGUUGCUGAUCCGGCCGGCCCAGAUCCACACGCCUCCUCCUUCCGCCACCUCACCCCACCAGCUUCCAGCGCUGUGGAUCCGCCGAGGAUGGAUGGCAGCAAGUGAGAGGGAGCAGGAGAAGAGGUGAUCUUUCUUCAUGCUGGGGUGGAGGAGCAGGGAUAGUUUGGAGGCCGGUGGUGGAGGGAAGGAGUCGCCGGGUGGAGGAGAGGUUGGUGCCAGGUCCAAGGAGCAGCGGGGGCAGAGCACCAGGAGGCGCUCCCGUUGCGAUGGGUGGAGCUACAGAGGAGGGGAGGAGGAGGAUGCCGGGCUCAGCCACGAAGACGGCUCGGUCAGGUCGCGACGCCCCAUCCGCCACUUCUGUUGGGCGUCGUCCCCUUUUUCCUCGGAAUCAAAUAGACCAGAUCAAUACUUGCCAGGGUGGAAUCUGCUGCUGCUGCACUGGUUGGUAAUCUGACAUACUACGGCCAGUGGUUGACAAUGAACCAUAAGGAGAAGAAGAACAUGCCAAAAGAUAGAUUGAGCAGCAGCAAGAAGGUGAAGCACCAGGGAGAUGCACAUGGCAUGCCGGAAAUGUUGGGUGACCUCGGCCAGCGUUGGCUGUCCUUGCUGGCGACCUCGCCGUCUGCAACCCACCUCCAGCGGCCUGACCACACAGAGAAGAAUGGCAGACACUGAGGAUUUUUGCGGCAAUUUUUCUAAUUCGUUUUUACCUCAUGGAUUCUCAUUUAUCUCUCUAACUUCCAUUUACUCAAGACAAUUAUGGCUCUGCUCCAAGAUGAAGUAAAAGAAAAGCUUAUAACAGAAGAAACAUAGUUUGAUGGGCGUCCUUGCCAGUGGCAUCGCAGUCUCCAACCCGUCCGCGGGUAUUUCAUCUCCGUCCCAUUCAGUUUACUCCUUUUUGAUUUUUUUCCUACUUGAGCCUUGGAGAUUGCUAAUGGAAAUUUCUCUGGUGAGUUUUGCUUGUACCAGUGGUGCAGAGGAUGUCUUGCUGAACAUAGUUUUUAGUUCUUGAUCUUUUUUCAUAUAAGAAAUCCAAAUACAGUAAUGGCUCUUUCUGGGAGCAAGGCUGUCAUAUAAGGGGAAAAUUUUAGAAGCUAAGCGACCAUAAUUUAAAUCAUGUGUGCCUUGUUU